AUUUUAUGUGCUCCGUGUCUCCUACGUUCCCUGUGUUCCAGCUGUUGUAUCAUUAAAAGACUGUUUGUUGAAGAAUUCCUCGUCUCCCCGUUCCCUUACUCCAGCGUAUCGUGACAGAGGAUCCAUUGCUGAGACACUGAUGCAAUGCUACAUUUUUCGAAAUCUGAUGAAGAAACAAACUCAUCUACAUCUUAGAUGACCUGAGGAUGAGUACAUUUUCAGCAAAUUUUCAUUUUGGGAUGAAUUAUUCCUUAAAUCUUCUGAGCUUUGAUUCAUGUUGGAUUUUUCCAUUCUUCAGAACCUCAAAGGUUCAACCUUUGACAAAUCGACUGACAUGAGUUUCUAUCACUUAAAUUCUACAUUCCUCAUCCCUGUAUUUUUCCCCCUGAAGAGAACACAACAUGCCUCACCAGAAAGAUUUGCAUUUCUUUGAUGGAUGGCCUGUGUUUCAGCAAAGCGAUGUUCUUCUGUGCACACCAGCCUCGGGCGCAGCACAUUAGGACGGAGCGCGUGUUGAUGAACUGUAUAUGAAUAUGCAUGCGCAGUCAGGAUGCCACAGCAGCUGCGCAUAAACAACAUUUGCCAGGCAUUGAAGAUAGCAGAUAUUCUUCUUGAUGUCCUGCACCGUGAGCUGAGAGACAGACUGUGCCGCAUCCGUCACUGACAGAUGAGAGUGAGUGAUGCUGACAGAUGACACAAUCCUUCAGAUCCAGUGACGAAAUUAAACAUGUGUGAGAAAAGAUCCUUCAGAGGAAAAUCCAGCAGCUCAAGAUCCCUGAUGAUUUCAGUCUGAUCUGAACUGUUUAAGUGGCACUAAAUGAUUUAUGAAUCUGUCACAAUGUGAUGAGACUUUACUGUGGAGCAGUGUGAACUAUAUUGGAUCCAAAAGCGAACCUGGAGCAUAGUUGUCCUGCAUUCUGGAUCAUUGUAUCAUCUGCAGCAGCUCCUGCUCUUCCGGAUGAAAUCUGUGUGUCGUAUUGCUGAGAAUGCAGGGGGUUUGAAUGAUGUGGCUUUUAUACCGCAGGCAACUGAAAACUAGCGGCAUUUGUCACAAGUGAACAUCCUCCUGACAGCGGGCCGAUCAAUUCACCUCAGAAUAACCGGUCUCCUCGCGGCUCACUCCAGAUUUUCCCCACUCAGACUGACACUCAAUAUUGGAUGAAUAUUUCAUGGGUGCAGAAGAGAAGAUAAGGAACGGGCUGACGACGCGCGUGCACUGGUGCGGAGACGAGCAGACGCUUCCCAUUCAUUCUCUAUGGGAGGCUCGCGCUGGGGAUUGUGGGAUUGAUGGUGUGGUGAGAAUGUCAAGAAAAGUGCACUAUGUUCAACUUUAUGCAAACGAUGCAGCCGCUGACGCCUGUCAUGGGUGUUUGGAAAUCUGCUGAUGCUGCUGGAUUUACUGCUUAAAUCACAUCAUAUCACUGUAGUUCAAUUACAGUUUGCACAAAUGCAUCAUGGCUCGACUGUGGCUGGGAUAAUAAAAGUGUUUUGAAUUUACACUGUACAUAUACUUUGGGAAAUUACAUUUUUUUUUAAUGCAUAUAUAACAUAAAUUUAUUGAUGAUAUUGAAUGCAAUCUUACUGCACCUGCCUUACUUUCUCGCUGACUGGAUGUUAUGCAGACAUUGUAUUUAGAUCAUGCCCAUGAUGCUUUCUUACCUUUGUAGUAAUGCUGAAUUUAUCAGGUUUUUGACACUAAUGUGCAGGAAUAUGAUUUCAUGAAUCUUUAAACAGGACAUGACUGACAGGAAUCACAUGUACAUGUGUGCUGCAGUGAAGAUGCACGGAUGCCCUGCGGUUAUAUGAAGAUUGAUGUUAUUUGGCAUUGUGAUUUCAUUCUUUGAAUGUAAAGAGGUCAAACAGAAGGACAGAGAGAAGACUAAGCAAAGCUGACAUGUUGAUGUGCAACUGGUAAUGAACAUGACAUGCAGUACAGUGUGCUGAGUUUGAGGCUGGCUUGUGUCAUGUUUCAGUCCCAUUUUUCA